rnacentral:rRNA from 1 species
GGACCGGCGCACGGGUGCGUAACGCGUAUACAAUCUACCUAUAACAGAGGGAUAGCCCAGAGAAAUUUGGAUUAAUAUCUUAUAGUACUAUAAAAUGGCAUCAUUUAAUAGUUAAAGCUUCGGCGGUUAUAGAUGAGUAUGCGUCUGAUUAGCUUGUUGGUGAGGUAACGGCUCACCAAGGCAACGAUCAGUAGGGGGUCUGAGAGGAUGAUCCCCCACACUGGAACUGAGACACGGUCCAGACUCCUACGGGAGGCAGCAGUAGGGAAUAUUGGUCAAUGGAGGCAACUCUGAACCAGCCAUGCCGCGUGAAGGAAGAAGGCGUUCUGCGUCGUAAACUUCUUUUAUACAGGAAGAAAAGCCCAUGCGUGGGUCUAUGACGGUACUGUAAGAAUAAGGACCGGCUAACUCCGUGCCAGCAGCCGCGGUAAUACGGAGGGUCCGAGCGUUGUCCGGAAUUAUUGGGUUUAAAGGGUACGUAGGCUGUAUGAUCAGUCAGAGGUGAAAUCCCAAGGCUUAACCUUGGAACUGCCUUUGAUACUGUCAAACUUGAAUUUACUAGGGGUAAGCGGAAUUUAUGAUGUAGCGGUGAAGUGCAUAGAUAUCAUAAAGAACACCGAUAGCGAAGGCAGCUUACUGGAGUAUUAUUGACGCUGAGGUACGAAAGCGUGGGUAGCGAACAGGAUUAGAUACCCUG